rnacentral:rRNA from 1 species
UACGUAGGGUGCAAGCGUUGUCCGGAAUUAUUGGGCGUAAAGAGCUCGUAGGCGGUUAGUCGCGUCUGCUGUGAAAACUCGGGGCUUAACUCCGGGCCUGCAGUGGGUACGGGCUGACUAGAGUGCGGUAGGGGAGACUGGAAUUCCUGGUGUAGCGGUGAAAUGCGCAGAGUAUCGAGGAGGAACACCGGUGGCGAAGGCGGGUCUCUGGGCCGUAACUGACGCUGAGGAGCGAAAGCGUGGGGAGCGAACAGG